UGCACGCACUGCUCGCGUGCCGCUGGCUGCGCGCGCUCAUCUACUUCUGGCGCGCAUACUGCGCGCACUGCUCGCGUGCCGCUGGCUGCGCGGGCUCAUCUACUUCUGGCGCGCAUACUGCGCGCACUGCUCGCGUACCGCUGGCUGCGCGCGCUCAUCUAUUUCUGGCGCGCAUACUGCACGUGUUGCUCGCAUGCCGCCGACUGCACGGUGCUGUACGACUGGCAGUGACGCAGAGGGCGAUGUCGCUUAGUCUGCGGCCUGCUGCUGCGGACUACCCAACGGAUUAUCUAUCAGGACGGUCGAGCGGGACGCCCGCCACACGUGGUGCAACCUCACAUCAUGGGAGCAGACUGGAGCUGGGACGGCUGCCCUGCUUCCACAUCAUCCUUACGAGUGGACCCCGGUGACAUGCAGCCUUUUCUUCGAAAUUAAUAUGUGAAGGUCGAGGUGGGCACUUCGGUGCUUUACUUCCCAUUUUUGAGGUUGAGGUGGGCACUUCGGUGCUUUACUUCCCAUUUUUGAGGUUGAGGUGGGCACGACGGUGCUUUACUUCCCGUUUAUUUUUUUUUGAGCAGUAUGGUAGAUGCGGAUUCGGCCGGAUCUUGCGUCCCUACUGUUUAGCUGUGUUGUGUCGGUAAUGUUCAGUACCUGUAUCGGUGAAUAUUGCCGACAACAGCGCGCUACUGUUUUAGACGUUUCCUGUACGGGCUAACUCAGUAAAGGAAUCGUGCAGGUGUCUCAAAUUGCGCAGUUUGGGACAGUUGUGCGAUAUCCAUUCUUCUCACUUCAAAUGUUUAUCUUUGGCUCGUCCUCGCUGCAGAUGUAAGAGUGCACGCUUGCGUCUGUAGUAGGAAUUCUAAAUUUUAGAAAGUUUUAGAGCAUUAAGGUCUGGGUGUAUUUUUUUUUGUUACGUUACAGAGGGUGACCUUGUUGAUGCAAGCUCUGACGUAGCUGGAAGAGAUAUGCUUCUGCUGAGAGAUGAAGCGGUCGAGGACGCCUCGCCAUCAGGAACGGCCGUGUUACCGAAUCCUGGCAACCCCCGACCGAGAGCCAGCGCUAAAACUAUAAAAACGAUCCCUCGCUGCGCCUUUGCCUCUUUUUUGUGCGUGGCGUUCGUGUGUGCGGUUCUUGUUGAAAAAUGUUUGAGACUUGUGUAAUUUUAACAGUUUUCGUUAAUAGUAAAUCGAAAUCAUUUUGU